AACGCUAGCUACAGGCUUAACACAUGCAAGUCGAGGGGCAGCACGGGAGUAGCAAUACAACUGGUGGCGACCGGCGCACGGGUGAGUAACGCGUAUGCAACCUACCUAUCAGAGGGGAAUAACCCGGCGAAAGUCGGACUAAUACCGCAUAAAACAGGGGCACCGCAUGGUGAUAUUUGUUAAAGAAAUUCGCUGAUAGAUGGGCAUGCGUUCCAUUAGGUAGUUGGUGAGGUAACGGCUCACCAAGCCGACGAUGGAUAGGGGAACUGAGAGGUUGGUCCCCCACACUGGUACUGAGACACGGACCAGACUCCUACGGGAGGCAGCAAUGAGGAAUAUUGGUCAAUGGGCGGGAGCCUGAACCAGCCAAGUCGCGUGAAGGAAGAAGGAUCUAUGGUUCGUAAACUUCUUUUGCAGGGGAAUAAAGUGCGGGACGUGUCCUGUUUUGUAUGUACCCUGAGAAUAAGGAUCGGCUAACUCCGUGCCAGCAGCCGCGGUAAUACGGAGGAUCCGAGCGUUAUCCGGAUUUAUUGGGUUUAAAGGGUGCGUAGGUGGUUUGAUAAGUCAGCGGUGAAAGUUUGUCGCUCAACGAUAAAAUUGCCGUUGAUACUGGUUUACUUGAGUAUAGUUGAAGUAGGCGGAAUGCGUGGUGUAGCGGUGAAAUGCAUAGAUAUCACGAAGAACUCCGAUUG
rnacentral:rRNA from 1 species